CGGAACGGGUGAGUAACGCGUGAGGAACCUGCCUCAAAGAGGGGGACAACAGUUGGAAACGACUGCUAAUACCGCAUAAGCCCACAGCUCGGCAUCGAGCAGAGGGAAAAGGAGCAAUCCGCUUUGAGAUGGCCUCGCGUCCGAUUAGCUAGUUGGUGAGGUAAUGGCCCACCAAGGCGACGAUCGGUAGCCGGACUGAGAGGUUGAACGGCCACAUUGGGACUGAGACACGGCCCAGACUCCUACGGGAGGCAGCAUG
rnacentral:rRNA from 1 species